rnacentral:rRNA from 1 species
CCUACGGGAGGCAGCAGUGGGGGAUAUUGCACAAUGGGGGAAACCCUGAUGCAGCGACGCCGCGUGUGGGAAGACGGUCCUCUGGAUUGUAAACCACUGUCCCCAGGGACGAAGAUGACGGUACCUGGGGAGGAAGCUCCGGCUAACUACGUGCCAGCAGCCGCGGUAAUACGUAGGGAGCGAGCGUUGUCCGGAAUUACUGGGUGAAAAGGGAGCGUAGGCGGGACUGCAAGUUGGGUGUCAAAUCUACCGGCUCAACCGGUAGCCGCACUCAAAACUGCAGUUCUUGAGUGAAGUAGAGGCAGGCGGAAUUCCUAGUGUAGCGGUGAAAUGCGUAGAUAUUAGGAGGAACACCAGUGGCGAAGGCGGCCUGCUGGGCUGUUACUGACGCUGAGGCUCGAAAGUGUGGGGAGCAAACAGGAUUAGAUACCCCGGUAGUC